ensembl:lncRNA
GAUGUUAAAGGAGAUGUAUGUGGGUGUUCCUCUAGGUGUUGAUGGACCUGUCCAACACCUAACAUGGAUAACGUCCCACGCUGGCUCCCUCUGAAGGAACAGAGUGAGGGAGAGCACCACCGGCGCUCCCUUUCAGCACAGGGGCCGCCAGACUCCCCCAAGCCCCCCUCGCAGCACGCCUCCCCCAAAACCCCUGCCCACGGUAACCAGGACUCCCCCAAGCCCCCUCGCAGCACGCCUCCCCCAAAACACCCGCCCACGGGAACCAGGACCCGCCCAAGUCGUCGGUCAUCAAGAGCCGGAGCCAUGGGAUCUUCCCUGAUCCAGCCAAGGACACGCAGGUGCCCACUAUUGAGAAAUCUCACAGUACCGCCCGGCACACGAAGCCUUCCCCGUCCGAGGGCCACAGCCAACAUACGCCACGCGCGGCCUCACGUGCCGCGCCUCGCAAAAGUGCAAGGCAAACCAGCAGGAUGGCGCUGGCGGUGUCGCUGUACACAACGGGUGAAGCUCCGGCUCCGCAGCAAACAGCACCGCCUCCAACCAACACGGCCCGGCAGGUCCGGCGACGCCCCGGUAACAGCCGCCUCAUUGGACAGCGGUCUGAGUGGCAGUGCUCACAGCCUAUUGGAGGAUGAGGGUGGGACUAAUGCCGUGGACAGUGCCAUCUUCCAGGUCCCUCGGUUUGGGAAGAUUCCAAAUGGCACUGACGUGAUGAUGUCACCAAUGGGCCAUAUGGACUCUGAGGGUAAGUCACAGUGGUGUGUGUGUAUACCACCUGGAGGUGGAAGCGUAAUUCUAUGGUGUGCAUGCAUGUGUGUGUAUAGGUGUGAGUAUGUCCCUGUGAGCUUCAGUGUGUACAGUAUGUGUCAACACAUCCCUCAGAUGUAACUAUGGUUAGCUGGUCUGCUCUCUAGGGCAGGUUUAGUUGAAUCCCAGUGUGAGUGUUGUGACUGGUGUGAAGUCAUAAGUCAUCAGGAAGUGACAGCACCAGUCACAUUCAUCUGACCUUGUGAGCAUACUUCAUACAGUACUGACACGUGUCAUGGAAGGAACACUCUAGUGAUCAGUGGAGGCUCCUCAGAGGAGGAAGGGGAGGACCAUCAUCGUUAUUGAAUUCCAUUAAAAUAGUGAAACAUUAAAAAAGUUAUACUUUUUAGAUAAAACUAUACUAAAUAUAUUCACGUCACCAAAUCAUUUAUUAAAACACUGUUUUGCAAUGAAGGUCUACAGUACACUCAACAGCACUCUGUAGGCAAGCAAUAUUGUGUAGCCGGAGCACAGCUAAUUUCCGUCCCCUUCUGGGUACAUUGACUUCUAUACGAAAUCUAGGAGACUAUUGGUUCUCACCACGUUCCAUAGACUUACACAGUAAUUAUGACAUCUUCCAGAGGACGUCCUCCAACCUAUCAGAGCUCUUGUAGUAUGAACUGACAUGUUGUCCACCCAAUCAAAGGAUCAGAGAAUGAAUCUAGUACUGAAAGCAUAAGCUACAGCUAGCUAGCACUGCAGUGCACAAAAUGUGGUAAGUAGUUGACUCAAAGAGAAAGACAAUAGUUGAACAGUUAUAUAGCGAUAUAUUUAGUUGUAUUUUUUUCACUUKCACUUAGCUAGCGAAUGCAGCUAGCUAGUUUAGUCAAACAAACCGGCUCAAACAGAGAGGGAUGUUAUGUUAGCUAGCUGGAUAUGGCUAUCCAACACUGGAACUUUUCCAAGUCAAGGUAAGCUUUUGAUUKUAUUAAUKUAUUGCCACAGUGGCCCGCCGUUGUAACUGCUAAACUGCUUGCUGCUGACUGUACACUGUACUGCAUGAUUAUAGCGGGUUUACUAAUGCAUUAGUUCUAGUAGCUAUAUUGACUAUGAUGUUAAUAUGGUGACAACGAUGUAGGCUGUGUGUAGCAGUUAGCGGUUAUGAUAUGAAGGUUUGGCUUGGAUUUGUUUUUAGCCUGGUCACAAGCAGCUAAUGUGUUGUGCACUGAAGUCCACAAGGGAAGGGAAAGGUGAGAGGAGGAGAGCACGUAGAUGUGGUAAGGGAUUACACAACGAUCAAAGGGAUCAAAGUGAACUGUGUUUGCAUGUGAUCACGGGUGUAUUCAUUCCGCCGAUUCUGUUGAAAAAUAAAUUCUUAAACGGAAGCAAACGGAAUGAAACGGGGAUCAACAUACCUGAAUUUGUCCAAUGAAAACUGUCAUAUUCAACUGUUGGACUAAUGAUUACACCCUAGCUCAGCUAGAGGCAGGCAAGAGUGAAUGUGUCAAUGUCUGUCACUUUGAUUGCUCAAAUUUCUCUCAACCUGUGCACCUACAUUGUAAACUUACAUUCACAGACUGGGUACAGGCAAAAUUGUAGUAUUAUGUAGUAGCUAAACCUAUUGCUGUUACAUUGAGCUGGGUGAAUGGAAUAUGAAUGACAGUCAUCCAAUAUCCUGUAAAUAUGAAAUAAGGCCAUGCUUGAAAUAAAAUAAUCGUCCUCCCAAUUUUUAAACGGCACCGACCUCCACCGGUGGUGUGUAUAUGUGAAUUAACGUGUGUGUGUGUGCGUGUGUGCAUGUGUGUGCGUGUGUGUGUGUGUGUGUGUGUGUGUGUGUGUGUGUGUGGAGGUAAGACCAGGUAAUGGGAGAGAUCAAGAUAGCCUGAGGAAGGAGCUGAAGACAGAGGAGACCACUGGUGUUGGAGAUUCUCCAGUGCAGAAACAUAACCUACAAGUUCAAGUCUCCAGACCACCUGCCAGGUACUGCUAUAUGUACAUGUAUUACACACAAACAUGUACACACACGUUUAAACACCAUGUCGAUGCACAUU